rnacentral:rRNA from 1 species
AUUGAACGCUGGCGGCAGGCCUAACACAUGCAAGUCGAGCGAGCGGCGGACGGGAGAGUAAUGUAUGGGGACUGCCCGAUAGAGGGGGAUAACUACUGGAAACGGUGGCUAAUACCGCAUACUAUCGGAUAACCCAUAUGGGAUUAGCUAGUAGGUGGGGUAAAGGCUCACCUAGGCGACGAUCUCUAGCUGCUCUGAGAGGAUGAUCAGCCACACUGGGACGGAGACACGGCCCAGACUCCUACGGAGGCAGAAGUGGUGAAUAUUGCACAAUGGGCGCAAGCCUGAUGCAGCCAUGCCGCGUGUAUGAAGAAGGCCUUAGGGUUGUAAAGGACUUUCAGCAGGGAGGCGUUACCCUAAGAAGAAGCACCGGCUAACUCCGUGCCAGCAGCCGCGGUAAUUC